GAUGAAGAACGUAGCGAAAUGCGAUAAGUAAUGUGAAUUGCAGAAUUCAGUGAAUCAUCGAAUCUUUGAACGCACAUAGCGCCCGCCAGUAUUCUGGCGGGCAUGCCUGUUCGAGCGUCAUUACAACCCUCAGGCCCCCGGGCCUGGCGUUGGGGAUCGGCGGAAGCCCCCUGCGGGCACAACGCCGUCCCCCAAAUACAGUGGCGGUCCCGCCGCAGCUUCCAUUGCGUAGUAGCUAACACCUCGCAACUGGAGAGCGGCGCGGCCACGCCGUAAAACACCCAACUUCUGAAUGUUGACCUCGAAUCAGGUAGGAAUACCCGCUGAACUUAAGCAUAUCAAUAAGCGGAGGA
rnacentral:misc_RNA from 1 species